rnacentral:rRNA from 1 species
AUUGAACGCUGGCGGCAGGCCUAACACAUGCAAGUCGAACGGUAACAGGAAACAGCUUGCUGUUUCGCUGACGAGUGGCGGACGGGUGAGUAAUGUCUGGGAAACUGCCUGAUGGAGGGGGAUAACUACUGGAAACGGUAGCUAAUACCGCAUAACGUCGCAAGACCAAAGAGGGGGACCCCCGGGCCUCUUGCCAUCGGAUGUGCCCAGAUGGGAUUAGCUUGUUGGUGGGGUAACGGCUCACCAAGGCGACGAUCCCUAGCUGGUCUGAGAGGAUGAUCAGCCACACUGGAACUGAGACACGGUCCAGACUCCUACGGGAGGCAGCAGUGGGGAAUAUUGCACAAUGGGCGCAAGCCUGAUGCAGCCAUGCCGCGUGUAUGAAGAAGGCCUUCGGGUUGUAAAGUACUUUCAGCGGGGAGGAAGGGAGUAAAGUUAAUACCUUUGCUCAUUGACGUUACCCGCAGAAGAAGCACCGGCUAACUCCGUG